rnacentral:tRNA from 1 species
CUGGCGGAAGCUCAGUUGGUGAGAGCGACGGAUUUACAUUCCGUAGGUCCCUGGUUCGAGCCCAGGAUCGCCCAG